rnacentral:tRNA from 1 species
CAAGAAAUAGUUUAUUUAAAAAUUAUAAUUUUGGAGAUUAUAGAUAGUCGUUUGAUUUUUCUUGA